GUUAGUAUAGUUUAACUAAAAUAUUAGAUUGUGGUUCUAAAGAUAGACGUUAAAACCCUCUUACUGACCG
rnacentral:tRNA from 1 species